rnacentral:lncRNA from 1 species
ACAAUUUUUAUUAUUUAUAUUUCUUUUUAUAGCUUUUGAAUUUGUCUUCCAUCUUAUAUCUCAUCCGUGUGAUUCAUCACAUAGGAAUAUUUGUUGAGGCGUGUUUCAACAUUCAACCAAAUGCAUAUUUGAAUUGGGUCCCCCACUUCACUAAUAAGAAUUAACAUGUCACUUCAUGUGAAUUGUUGUUUUGCGUAAACGAAAUCUCAGUUUAAGAUGAAUUUUUUCUUGAGUCACCUUCCAAAUCAUUGUUAGCACUUAGCAGCCUUUGUACUUGCAUCAAAUAAAACUCACAUGACAUGAAAAUUCUGCUAGCUCCCCAAAACAAAGGAACACAGUAAUUAGAUCCAAAUUGUUCCAGAAUUCAGGCGGGUUGAACUGGACAAGAUAUUGUCUCAUUUUUGUCUAAGAUGCCCUUUUGUAGGGAUUGUAGUUUCUCCAAAUUUAGUUAUCUCGUGCAUUAUUUAUGAAAAUCAUUUAUGUUUAGAGCUCUUGAACUUGUACCUGUAUUGAGGUCUGCUCUUCAAACUAGCAAGCUUUUUGGGAGAGGUGCAACUAUGUAGUGGAAGACCCUAACUGCCUCACUAUUCUUCAAGCUACUAUCAAACCAUUCCAGUUUUAUGUUCUAUGAUGUGACACAAUGUUUCUAAUGGGCAAUGCCAAUAUGGAUUGUGACAUAAUAGCUUUAUUUUAGCAAUUGGUAAGAUGCAUAAUAGCUUUAUUUUAGUUGGAAUUCUUAUUUCCUCUUCCCAAAUCUAUCUUGAUAAAUAUUGAAUUUGUCAUUCGGCCCAUUCGAUCAUUGGAUCUAGAGGCAUUUUGGUUUAGACAUGUCGUGGUGCAUGGCUCUACCACUAUAUCCGAUUAAUGUGUUGCUUUCGACAUACCGGUAGACAAUCUGAUGAGCCUCACCAAGCAUGUGUCAUGUUUUGGUGUCAAACAUGGAGGCAUUUUCGUGUUCACAUGUUGAAAUUUCAGACAUGGACACCUAUGGUUUGACAUGUUUGCCCCCAUAAGUUUUGACAUAGGUCUAGAAGUUGAACAACCAUAUUCAUGUAUGGGAUGCAUGUAUUUGAUCUUUUAUGUUAAUUUUUCUUAUUUACUUUUGACUAUUUUUAUUAUCUAUAUUUCUUUUUAUAGCUUUUGAAUUUGUCUUCCAUCUUAUAUCUCAUCCGUGUGAUUCAUCACAUAGGAAUAUUUGUUGAGGCGUGUUUCAACAUUCAACCAAAUGCAUAUUUGAAUUGGGUCCCCCACUUCACUAAUAAGAAUUAACAUGUCACUUCAUGUGAAUUGUUGUUUUGCGUAAACGAAAUCUCAGUUUAAGAUGAAUCUUUUCUUGAGUCACCUUCCAAAUCAUUGUUAGCACUUAGCAGCCUUUGUACUUGCAUCAAAUAAAACUCACAUGACAUGAAAAUUCUGCUAGCUCCCCAAAACAAAGGAACACAGUAAUUAGCUCCAAAUUGUUCCAGAAUUCAUGCAGGUUGAACUGGACAAGAUAUUGUCUCAUUUUUGUCUAAGUUGCCCUUUUGUAGGGAUUGUAGUUUCUUCAAAUUUAGUUAUCUCGUGCAUUAUUUGUGAAAUUCAUUUAUGUUUAGAGCUCUUGAACUUAUAC